rnacentral:rRNA from 1 species
GAUGAACGCUGGCGGCGUGCCUAAUACAUGCAAGUCGAGCGAACAGACGAGGAGCUUGCUCCUCUGACGUUAGCGGCGGACGGGUGAGUAACACGUGGAUAACCUACCUAUAAGACUGGGAUAACUUCGGGAAACCGGAGCUAAUACCGGAUAAUAUAUUGAACCGCAUGGUUCAAUAGUGAAAGACGGUUUUGCUGUCACUUAUAGAUGGAUCCGCGCCGCAUUAGCUAGUUGGUAAGGUAACGGCUUACCAAGGCAACGAUGCGUAGCCGACCUGAGAGGGGGAGCGGCCCAAGGGGAACCGGGACACGGUCUAGCCACCUGCGGGAGGCACCGGUAGGGAAUGUUGCGGAGGGUGAGAAAGCGUGACGGACAAUGCCCGGGAGAGUAGUGAAGGACUUGUUUCGGUAAAAGUCUUUUUUUGGGAAUGAAAAAAUUUGUAAUGAACAUACGUUGCAUGAGCGGUACUUACUAAGAAAGCCCGGGGUAAUUCCAC